GCGAGUGAUGGUUGUAGUUUGUGUGAGUGAAUAUUUGAGAGUGUGCAUACGUGUAUGUAAAGUCUAAUCCCUUGAUUGACUGGCCACUGUGUGUCCAGCUCUGUGCGAUGGCCGGGUGAAGAGGGCAGUUGACCUUAUGACCUCUUGACUCUGCAGUGUGCGAGAGGGUCAAUAAGUGGUGUAUGCUUAAGGCCUGCUGGACUGGCUGGCCCUGAUGAGUGGAUUCUCGGCUGUGGUGACAUCAGUGAUCUCAUGCUGACCUUCCUCUGACCUUCUCCACAGGUUUGGCCUAGAGAUUUCCGACCCUCAAUUUGAGCAGCUGUUGGACAGGCUCCCUCUUGACCGCCACGGAAAUGUGCAGUACCCGAUCUUCAUGGCAGCCUUUGACACCAGGAAAGGAGUUCCCAGCCUCUUCCAGGCAGCCGCCCAGCCUGCCUUGAACCAUGAUUCAGGCGAGGAGAAGGGCUCAGAGGAUGAUCGGAGUGACCAUGAGCUGUUUAGUCUGGUGAAGAAUUUGGUGGCAAAUCGUUACAGGGAUGUGCUAAGAGAGUUUGAAGAACUGGAUGAGAAAAACACCAGACGUCUUACUCAGGAGGACAUGUACCAGUUACUUAAAAGGUUAGAGCUCCAUCCUGAGGUAACUCGUGGAGAGGUCCGGAGGUUGUGGUCCUCAUUGUUCACUCAGCAGGAUGGAUCUGUGGACUUUCAACAGUUUAUACAUCACUUUGGCCCGUCUCCCAAAUCCUGCUGUUACCCCAAUGCCAAGCACAAUCCCCCCAAACGUGGAGACAAUGACUUGAUGCGCCUCUCCAAAAGACUCAACUGCGUCUCAGAUAUACUAGUGGAUGCUCUACGGGCCAAGGUGGAGUUGUCUGUUUCUGAGCUCUGGACUGAGUUCUCCGAAAUGGAUUUUUCUGGAACAGGUUUUGUUAGCAAUGAUGAAUUUAAAGACAUCCUUAUGAGUCUCUGUGUUCAUCUCAGCCAGUAUGAGUGUGAUCUGUUGGCCAAGAAGUUUGACAUCAACCAUGAUGGCAGCGUAUCCUACACAGAAUUCCUCAAGCCUUUUCUGUCCCAGAGUCAAAUAUGGAAGCAUGGAUCCAACAUGGCAGCUGCUCUGCAGACUCCCAGAGAAACUAAAGAAGUUGCCACUCAGGAAACAUUAAGUCGCAAGAUCAGGAAAAAGCUCCAGCGUAAGGCCAGGGCUCUUAGCAAGGCCUGUGCCCAGCUGGAUGGCUCCGGCACUGGGCUUCUGUCUGCAGCUGAGCUGGGUGCUGUGCUACAGCUGUUUGGAGUGUGUCAGAGCCAGGAAGAGCUGAAAAGUGUGUUCUCUACCCUUAAUACACACCCGUCUGGACACCUAGACUACCGCCCGCUCCUAAUGGACAAACACAGGACAUCCAGUCACAACCAGCAGACCAAGCAACAGCUCAGCCACAGGAUUCAAUAGGUCAGAGGUUUAAAACAAAUGAUGGCUACAUUGUUGCCAAGAGAGAUGCAAAAUAAUAUUUCAAAUAAACAUAUUAACCCUACUGGCUUCA
ensembl:lncRNA